rnacentral:rRNA from 1 species
CGAACGCUGGAAACAGCGGUCGGGAGCUUACACCCACCCGUGUUUACAUACUAUUGUUGCUUUGGCGGGCCGUGGCCUCCACUGCGGGCUCUGCUCGUGUGUGCCCGCCAGAGGACCAAACUCUGAAUGUUAGUGAUGUCUGAGUACUAUCUAAUAGUUAAAACUUUCAACAACGGAUCUCUUGGUUCUGGCAUCGAUGAAGAACGCAGCGAAAUGCGAUAAGUAAUGUGAAUUGCAGAAUUCAGUGAAUCAUCGAAUCUUUGAACGCACAUUGCGCCCUGUGGUAUUCCGCAGGGCAUGCCUGUUCGAGCGUCAUUUAACCACUCACGCCUAGCGUGGUAUUGGGGCACGUGGUCUCGCGGCCCUCAAAAUUAGUGGCGGCGCCGGUGGGCUCUAAGCGUAGUACAUACUCCCGCUAUAGAGUUCCCCCGGUGGCUCGCCAGAACCUCCAAUUUUUUACAGGUUGACCUCGGAUCAGGUAGGGAA